rfam:Triticum aestivum genome assembly, contig: Triticum_aestivum_CS42_TGACv1_scaffold_516233_6BS
AAUCUACUCCCUCCGUUCGGAAUUAUUUGUCGUGAAAAUGGAUGUAUUUUGAACUAAAAUAUGACUAGAUACAUUCAUUUCUGCGACAAGUAAUUCCGAACGGAGGGAAUAGAUG